UAAGGAAUAUUGGUCAAUGGAGGCAACUCUGAUCCAGCAAUGCCGCGUGAGUGAAGAAGGCCUUCGGGUUGUAAAGCUCUUUUGUCAGGGAAGAAACGGUAGUAGCGAAUAACUAUUACUAAUGACGGUACCUGAAGAAUAAGCACCGGCUAACUACGUGCCAGCAGCCGCGGUAAUACGUAGGGUGCAAGCGUUAAUCGGAAUUACUGGGCGUAAAGCGUGCGCAGGCGGUUGUGUAAGUCAGAUGUGAAAUCCCCGGGCUCAACCUGGGAAUUGCAUUCGAUACUGCUUGGCUAGAGUGUGGAAGAGGGAAGCGGAAUUUCCGGUGUAGCGGUGAAAUGCGUAGAUAUCGGAAGGAACACCAGUGGCGAAGGCGGCUUCCUGGUCCAACACUGACGCUGAGGCGCGAAAGCGUGGGGAGCAAACAGGAUUAGAUACCCCUGUAGUCCCUGAGCGGGCUGGCAAGGCGCAU
rnacentral:rRNA from 1 species